rnacentral:lncRNA from 1 species
CUGCUCCUUUCACUUUCUGAAGUCUGGCUGAGCUGAAGUUCAAGUGACCAGGACACAUGAUAUUUUGAAGAAGGCAAGGACUACUGUGUAGGUAAGGAAAUCACUGUGCCAGUCUGCAGCACAGAGCCAGCUGCAAACCCAUCCCCAUCUGUCUUGAGUCUGCAGGUGCUCCCCGACCUGCUCUGGAUUUCCAGGCCACUUGUAGGACACAGGCCCUCAGAAGCACUUCCUUUCCUGGGAGGUCACAAAAGCCAUCUUCUUCCUCCGAAGUGAAUUAGAGCGGCCCAUGCAGAGGGAGCGG